rnacentral:tRNA from 1 species
GUCCCUGUAGCGCAAUGGAUAGCGCGUUGGACAUCUAAUCCGAAGGUCGUGGGUUUAAAUCGUACCUGGGAUG